rnacentral:lncRNA from 1 species
AAGAUAAAAUUAUACUUUUAUUGCUGUACUAGGGAUAUUCUAAACUAUAUUGCUGUAAUUAUGUGUGCCAUUUUCCAUUGAAUCACUGACAGGUGUUUUGCCUUUAGAAAAACUUUAAAUGCGAUGCUAACACAAAAACCUUGGUUAAUUUUCUGUUUCUGACAUUGUAAUUGAACCAAAUACAGAGGUUGCGAGCACUCGUGCACCUAGAAAUUACCAGUUACUGCUUUACUAGGGAUAUUCUAAACUAUUCUAAACUAAACUAUACAGAGUUGUCGUUUGAAAGAUAAAAUUAUACUUUUAUUGCUGUACUAGGGAUAUUCUAAACUAUAUUGCUGUAAUUAUGUGUGCCAUUUUCCAUUGAAUCACUGACAGGUGUUUUGCCUUUAGAAAAACUUUAAAUGCAAUGAUAACAUAAAAACCUUGGUUAAUUUUCUGUUUCUGACAUUGUAAUUGAACCAAAUACAGAGGUUGCGAGCACUCGUGCACCUAGAAAUUACCAGUUACUGCUUUACUAGGGAUAUUCUAAACUAUUCUAAACUAAACUAUACAGAGUUGUCGUUUGAAAGAUAAAAUUAUACUUUUAUUGCUGUACUAGGGAUAUUCUAAACUAUAUUGCUGUAAUUAUGUGUG